rnacentral:rRNA from 1 species
GACGAACGCUGGCGGCGUGCUUAACACAUGCAAGUCGAACGGAAAGGCCCUGCUUUUGUGGGGUGCUCGAGUGGCGAACGGGUGAGUAACACGUGAGUAACCUGCCCUUGACUUUGGGAUAACUUCAGGAAACUGAGGCUAAUACCGGAUAGGAGCUCCUGCUGCAUGGUGGGGGUUGGAAAGUUUCGGCGGUUGGGGAUGGACUCGCGGCUUAUCAGCUUGUUGGUGGGGUAGUGGCUUACCAAGGCUUUGACGGGUAGCCGGCCUGAGAGGGUGACCGGCCACAUUGGGACAGAGAUACGGCCCAGACUGCUACGGGAGGCAGCGGUGGGGAAUAUUGCACAAUGGGCGGAAGCCUGAUGCAGCAACGCCGCGUGCGGGAUAACGGCCUUCGGGUUGUAAAACGCUUUCGCCUGUGACGAAGCGUGAGUGACGGUAAUGGGUAAAGAAGCACCGGCUAACUACGU